GUUCGCGGUUCACCGCUUGAGUAACUGAAAGAUUUGGGUGCGUUACAUUUGACGAAGAAGUGCAAGAAGAGCGGCUCAAUGUCAGUAAACUUUAUUGAAUUAGUAAAUAUUACUAUGUCGGUAUAUGCUUAGCAAGCUAGCUAAUUGUUAGCUAAUGUGCACUUUUACACGCUAGCCGUUAGCUAACGAACUCUGUUUGCCUAUGGGUUUUCCCGGGUAGUUCUACGGUACCGCCUGUUAAUGCUUCAGGGAGCUGAUGAAUCUAAGAUGGAUACUUUUGACGAUGCCACUCUAUCGGUGUUGGAGGUGUGAAAAUACCACGGACCAAGAUGCCAACAAUUGUGCCAUGCCACCAUGCCAGCCUCAAACCUCAACCCCCAUAUCUGCUGAGAAAAAAAUGAAAAUGCCAGACCCUCCAGAGUAUGUGGUGUACACAGAUUCAGAGUUAGACAUGGUGCGUAGUCAAUACUUUGCACUGCUCUGCAAUGGAAAGGAAAAAAAUUACAAACUGUCCAAGGAGCUAUGUUGCAGACUUGUAAGGAACACAAUAACCAGUAUGGUUGCUAUCCUGCGUGCUAGUCCCAUGGGGAAAGAAGUCAGUUACCCGUCAAAAUUGGAAAUAAGAGCCAUGUCACAGAAGAUUAUAGACUAUUACCCAAUGUUACGGGAUGAUGAUCCAAACAUGCCUUAUCUGACUAUCUACACCAAAAUGUACAAGCGACUCCAAAAUAUGAGAUCCCCACGGAAGAGGCAAGGCUCUGUACCACAAAGAGGAGUGGCAAAGACAGCUCUCUUCAGUGCAGACAACCAAGACAUGGAGACGGAUUGGACAGACACAAGCAACUCAAGUGAUAAUACCUUACUUCUUGAGAGCAAUGAUGACCUUACCGAGGACAACUCCAGUGAAGCAUUCCCAGCACAUCGACCCCCCUCUGUGCCAAGGAAGCCAAAGACCAAAACCUUCCUGCUGCCAUCCGCAUCAGCCUCAGGCUCCUCACUCAGGACUGUGAUCGCUUCACCAACCACGCCUGCAAAGGAUGAUGUUGUCGGCCAGGACAGUCUGAAAAUGCAGGCUAGGCACUACAAAACCUUGAGCAACAUGUACAAUAAGCCAAAUGCAAAACCCAAUCAAAGUGAUGUUGCUCAAGUUUUAGACCUUGAGUUUAAGGCCAGACGGGCUUUCAUUGAUGCAGAUGUUACAAGGGAAGAAGACCGACCUGCAAAAAUCUUUGAGGCAUAUCCAUGCUUUAGAGAUGUUCGAAAUGCAAUGGAUGAGCUGCGGCGCAUAGUAGGUGGCACCAACAGCAGAUACAUCGAGGAAGUGAAAGGAAGAUGGGCAGACUUUUGUGCCAAGGUGCAGUUCUAUGGUGUGUGGAAGAAAGCCCUGAAACCCCCCUUUCCAUUGGAUGUCCGUGGAGUGGAGUUCACGCUUGCCCUCUUCAAUGCACUCCCAUCCCUUUUCCCCUCACCAACUUCACCACCAAAGAAGCUUGGAAAUAGCUGUGAGGCACUUCUUCAUGUCCUGAAGUCAGGCGAAGACCCUGCCCUGUACCUGGAAAAGCAUCCUCUCUCCUCCCCAGUUCUGCUUUCUGAUGGCUCAACCACCAUUGUGGCUGUGGGUAAUGUACCUGUGACCACCCUCCCUCAGGAAGAUUUCUCAGACGGGAUGUUGGUGUUAAUGGCAUAUUACUACACUUUGCACUUAAGAUAUCCAAAAUGUGUUGCAACGCUCCUGUCAGUUAUUCAAACAGAGGUAAUUGGUGACACAAUCCACGAUCAAGAUGCCACUAGUGCUUACAGGAAAGCAAUGGCUGAUUGGAAGUCUUUCAUUGAGAAGUAGCUGAGUAUUUUGUCAUGCCAGUUCUUAUUGUUAGCUGUGAGUUCUUAUUGUUAGCUGUGCCUAAUAAUAGUUUUGUGUUGCACAAGCUUAUACAGUCACUGAGUUAUUACCUCAUUUAGGCCUGUAUUUAAAAUGAUAGUUAAGGAAAAAUCCAUAACUGAGGGCUGAGAAGUGUUUUUGUUUUUUGCCCUUUUGCUUUUAAUUUCUUUUAUUUUUAUGGAAAAGUAUUCAAAUGUCUAUAGCAAACUUGACUUGCUGAUGUUAAAUAAAUGUUGUCUUAAGCCAUGUUAUUUCUGCACCAUUAUUCUAAAAAAGGACAGGCUUUAGAUUUUAAGAUGCU
ensembl:lncRNA